AUUAUCAAGGUAUAGAUUUUGAGCAGCUGCAAUUUGUACUCAUUACAUUUGGAGUCAUACAUCGGCAGUAUCUCUUCUGAGGUCCAAGGGAUGUAAACAAGGAAAAGAGAAGUAUUGGAGGACUGAGCUCCCUCUUGGAAUGAAUACCAGAGCACCACAAAACUGACCUGCCAGGAGAACUGGGACUGCUCCACAAUCGGGAGGCGACUAACGAGACUGCUCGGUUUAAGGCCUCACCAGCAGGGCUGUGAUCCAGGGCUCAGCAGGUGCUAAUGAACCAUGAAAUGUCUAAAGCAUUGGCAGGAAGGAGGAAAAGAGGCAGAGUUGACCCAGCCUGAAGAACAAAGAUCCUUAAAAAUCAAGAGCUACGAAAUGCAAUGGGUAUCCUGGAUUGGAUCCUAGAACAGAAAGAGGACAUUGGUAGAAAAACUGGUGAAAUCAGAAUAAAGUAGAGAGUUUAGUUAAUGGUAAUGUACCAUUGUUGGUUUCGUAGUUUUGACAAAUGUACUAUCAAGAGAAACUGGUGAGGGGUAUCUGGGAACUCACUGUAUUAUUCCUUGCAACUUUUCUGUAAAUCUAAA